ACCUCCGGACUGGGGUUCGCAAGCUUCACGGCGAACGUACCUCGGGAAGUUGGUUAAACCUCAUUAUUUAGAGGAAGGUGAAGUCGUAACAAGGUCUCCGUAGGUGAACCUGCAGAAGGAUC
rnacentral:rRNA from 1 species